rnacentral:lncRNA from 1 species
ACAAAUUUAGGCACAGGAGAAAAUGUUGAUGGAAAUAUCGUCAUUAACUACACAAAGAAAUUCAGUGUCAGUAUUAGUUUUCAGAACAUAUGAACUAAACUGACUAUACUGGAGAAGUGGAUACAGGAAACCAACCAGCAGGCCUCCCAGAUAGUAUCAAGGAGCUGAAACUUACCAGAACACCGCAUCUGGACAAUGAGACAUCAGACCCCUCAUCUGUUGUGAUUGCCUAAUAGACCAUGUGCUUCCUGUUGACCAAUUCCUCUUCCUUACCUUUCCCUAAUUCCUGUUUUCAUGGCUACAUUUCUUCCCUGCUAUAUAAACCCUUAAUUUUAGUCUAUUAGGUAGAUGGAUUUGAGACUGAUCACCUAGCUCCUUGGCUGCAGCACCCGAAUAAAGCUUUUUCCCCUGG